UGGCUGGGUGGCCGUGGUUACCUCAAACCAGCUGUUACACAUCUUGAGUUCAACUGGCAUUCAGCGUCAGGUGGUCUGUGCACCCGGUGGGGCAGUACGAUUGGUGGGCUUGGACGGGCUGCUGGCCGUUUUUUACGGCGUCGUUGACAUAGGCUUCGAAAAUGAAGAUUGGAAUGUCCUACUUUACGCCGUCUCCCCUACAGGCGAGUAUGUGCAGGCGCUGCUUCCCUCGCACUUGCCUCUGGGUCGAAAGCGCAAGCUGGAGUGGUCAGGUUUCACUGACCACUCCAAUUUGUGGUUUUCCGACACCGCUGGCGAUGUCUUUGUGAGGCGAAAGGACGGCUGUUGGAUGAAGGU